rnacentral:rRNA from 1 species
GAGUUUGAUCGUGGCUCAGAUUGAACGCUGGCGGCAUGCCUUACACAUGCAAGUCGAACGGUAACAGGUCUUCGGACGCUGACGAGUGGCGAACGGGUGAGUAAUACAUCGGAACGUGCCCAGUCGUGGGGGAUAACUACUCGAAAGAGUAGCUAAUACCGCAUACGAUCUGAGGAUGAAAGCGGGGGACCUUCGGGCCUCGCGCGAUUGGAGCGGCCGAUGGCAGAUUAGGUAGUUGGUGGGAUAAAAGCUUACCAAGCCGACGAUCUGUAGCUGGUCUGAGAGGACGACCAGCCACACUGGGACUGAGACACGGCCCAGACUCCUACGGGAGGCAGCAGUGGGGAAUUUUGGACAAUGGGCGAAAGCCUGAUCCAGCAAUGCCGCGUGCAGGAUGAAGGCCUUCGGUUGUAACGUAGCUUUGUACGGUAACGAAAAGACGUUACUCCUAAUACGAGAGGCCGACUGACGGUACCGUAACG